CCGAUCGAUGAUGAUGAGCUUAUCUCCUACAUCACCUCCGGCCUUGACAUGGAGUAUCAACCCCUCAUCUCCGCCAACGACGCCCGCACCGAGCCCAUCANCCUCUACGCCCAGAUGAGUAACUUUGAUC
rnacentral:snoRNA from 1 species